rnacentral:piRNA from 1 species
AGCACAGAAACUCUGGCCGGAUGU